AUGGCAGUAGUUGUUCGGUUUGUGAACAUAGAAGGGUUGAUAAGGGAGCGUUUCCUUGAUCUUGUUCAUGUUAGUGACACUUGUGCUUUGACUCUCAAGAAUAAAAUCAUUGCUGUCCUAGUUGAUAAUGGGUUGAAUGUGCAAGAUAUUAGAGGCCAAGGGUACGAUGGAGCAAGUAAUAUGAGAGUGGAGUGGAAUGGGCUAAAGGCUCUAAUUCUCCAAGAGUGUCCUUAUGCUUAUUAUAUCCAUUGUCUAGCUCAUCAACUCCAAUUGGCUUUGGUUGCCGCUUCAAGGGAGGUAAAUGAGGUUCACAAUUUUUUCCAACAUGCAAAUUUUGUUGUGAAUACAGUUAGUGCAUCUCCCAAACGUAAUGAUGAGUUACUAAAAAACCAGGCAGCUCAAAUUGCUAGAGAGAUUGAGUUGGGAGAGCUUGACACUGGAAGAGGGGCUAAUCAAAUAGGAUCUUUACAAAGGGCCGGGGACACGAGAUGGAGUUCACACUAUAAGUCAAUCAAAAGUUUGCUCAAGAUGUUUGCUGCAACUAUUUCAGUUCUAAGAAGUGUAGCAACUGAUCGCUCAGCUACAAGGAAUUCAAGAGGAGACGCUGCAGGUGCCCUGAAGAUAUUAAACACAUUUGAUUUUGUCUUCAUUCUGCACCUAAUGGAAAGAAUUAUGAAAAUCACGGAUAUCUUGUGUGUUAAACUUCAAAAUAAAAGUUUGGAUAUUGCUAAUGCACUGGAUUGUGUUUCUAACACAAAGUCGUUGCUUGCUGAACUGAGACAAGAUGGAUGGGAAAGUCUUUUUGAAGAUGUCAAAUCAUUUUGUGUGAAACAUGAGAUUGAUAUCCCGGACAUGGAUCAAAGGUAUGUUGAUGUAACAAAAUCAAGAAAUAAGCAUGACAACACCACCGUUAUCCAUCAUUACAAAGUAGAUGUGUUUAAUGUUGCAAUAGAUCAACAAGUGAUAGAGUUGAAUGAUCGAUUCAGUUCUCAAGUUACGGAGCUUCUAGAUCUUUGUUCAUCAUUGGACCCUAGACAUGAUGCCUUCGACAAGUCAAAGAUAUGCACUCUAGUGGAAAUUUUUUAUCCUGCUGAUUUUACUAGUCAAGAAAGAGAUCGGUUGGUGUGUGAAUUACCACAUUUUCAGCUUGAUACAUUGAACCAUCCAGAGAUCAAAAAUUGCAAAUCACUUGCUGAUAUGACAAAAGGGAUAAUUAAAACUGGCAAGUCUUCUGAUUAUCCUAUGGUUGAGAGGUUGUUACGAUUAGUAAUAACUCUUCCGGUGUCAACUGCAACAGCAGAGCAAGCCUUUUCCGCAAUGAAACUUGUCAAGACACGUCUUCAAAGUAAAUUGGGAGAUGAUUUUCUUCGUCAUUGCACUAUAGUCUACAUUGAGAAGGAAAUAGCAGCCAAGUUUAGCUCCGACGAUAUUAUUGAGAUAUUUGAUACUGGUGCUCGUAAAUCCGACUUCAAAUUAAUAGAUAUGUAA
rnacentral:rRNA from 1 species